rnacentral:rRNA from 1 species
UACGUAGGUGGCAAGCGUUACUCGGAAUUACUAGGCGUAAAGCGCAGGUAGGUGGUUGGGUAAGUCUGUCAUGAAAUCUCCCGGCUUAACUGGGAGAGGUUGAUGGAUACUGUCCGGCUUGAGUGUGGCAGAGGUAACUGGAAUUCCAGGUGUAGCGGUGAAAUGCGUAGAUAUCUGGAGGAACACCGAUGGCGAAGGCAAUCCCCUGGGCCUGCACUGACGCUCAUGCCCGAAAGCGUGGGGAGCAAACAGG